UACGAGAGGCCCAAACGUUAUUCGGAAUUACUGGGCGUUAAAGAGUCCGUAGGCGGCGCAGAAAGAUAGGGUCGUGAAACGCCCUCGGCUUAACCGAGGAAUUGCGCUCUAAACUACUGUGCUUGAGGAACCUAGAGGUGAGCGGAACUGAUGGUGGAGCGGUGAAAUGCGUUGAUAUCAUCAGGAACACCGGAGGCGAAGGCGGCUCAC
rnacentral:rRNA from 1 species